rnacentral:rRNA from 1 species
UACGAAGGGGACUAGCGUUGUUCGGAUUUACUGGGCGUAAGCGCGCGUAGGCGGAUCGCUAAGUCAGGGUGAAUCCCAGGGCUCAACCCUGGAACUGCCUUUGAUACUGACGAUCUGGAGAUCGGGAGAGGUUGGUGGAAUUCCGAGUGUAGAGGUGAAAUUCGUAGAUAUUCGGAGGAACACCAGAAGCGAAGGCGGCCAACUGGCCCGAUACUGACGCUGAGGCGCGAAGCGUGGGAGCAAACAGGAUUGAGAU